CUGCUGCCUUCCGUAGGAGUAUGGACCGUUCUCAGUUCCAUUGUGGCCGUUCAACCUCUCAGUCCGGCUACGCAUCAUCGCCUUGGUAGGCCCUUACCCCACCAACUAGCUAAUGCGCCACAGGCCCCUCCUUAAGCAGAUCUCUCUUUUAAAUAUAAAAGAUUCUUCCUCUAUAUCCUAUCCAGUUUUAUCCAUCGUUUCCAAUGGCUAUCCUCGUCUUAAGGGUAGGUUACCUAUGUAUUACUCACCCGUUCGCCACUAAA
rnacentral:rRNA from 1 species